UGUACUCCCAGGUCACAGUCCACCACUGGAGGAAGUCAGGGCAAGUACUGAAGGCAGAAACCCAGGCAGGGGCAGGAACUGAAGCAGAGGCUACCUUGCUGUAGGAGUGCUGGGAUCACAGAAGCUUACUGAAUCUAGCUUUUUCACAUGGAUUUCAAGGUCAGACUCAGGGGUCAGGCUUGAGCAGCAAGUGCUUUUACUCGUGGCACAUCUCACUGACCCCUUACCUCUUACUCUUAUGGGAACCAGGAAGGUUUGUGAAUGCCCUAUCCUGUCUGUACAGACACCAGUCAUAGGAGUGAUUCUAGUGGAGGAAGGGGUACAGUGACUUUGAUUGUUUAGUUCAAAGGCACUGUAUUGGUUCUUCUUUUUUUCUGUGAAUAAGUACCAUACAGGGGCAACUUCAGGGGGAAGGGUUUCUUUUGGCUUACGGUUGGAAGGGGUACAGCUCAUGGGGUGGAGAAAGCAUGGUGGGAGGAGCUGAGGGGGCUGGUGUGUGCACUCAGAAAACAGCUGGGUUUCUAGUCAGCUCCAAGGCAGCCCCACGGAUUUCCUCCUUCCAGCAAGACACAUCUGUUUCCAAAGGCUCACAACCUUCUGGAACGGUGCUGCCAGCCAAGGACCAGGUGUUCAAACAUGCUAGCCAAUGUGGGCAUGCUUUGUAUUCAGAACACCGCAGUACAGUUCCUGACAGUGAACACGGCCAAGCAGAGGGAGGCUCAGCUGCCUGGAUGAGCCUGCCCAGCCGGCCCGCAGUGGCUAGAAGGCUCCUUAUUCCUUUAGAGACCAUCCCACCUGGAAGACCCCUGCUGUUGGACUUUCUCUACUAUAGACAUUCUGCAUUCUUACCCAAGUCCUGGAAUCCCAACUCCAUCUCCUCAUCACCAAGAAACACCUGCCCCAAAGCCACGAAAGAGGUCAUAAAAA